GAUGAACGCUGACAGAAUGCUUAACACAUGCAAGUCUACCAAGAAUCACUUCGGUGAGGAAUGGUGGCGGACGGGUGAGUAACGCGUAAAUAAUCUGCCCUUUAGACUGGGAUAUCCUUUGGAAACGAAGGUUAAUACCGGAUAUUAUGAGAUGGACGCAUGUUCAACUGAUGAAAGCUAAAUGCACUAGAGGAGGAGUUUGCGUCCCAUUAGCUAGUUGGUGAGGGAAAGGCUCACCAAGGCAACGAUGGGUAGCCGGCCGGAGAGGGUGAACGGCCACAAGGGAACUGAGACACGGUCCUUACUCCUACGGGAGGCAGCAGUGGGGAAUAUUGGACAAUGGACCAAAAGUCUGAUCCAGCAAUUCUGUGUGCACGAUGAAGGUCUUCUUAUGGUAAAGUGCUUUCAGUAGGGAAGAAAAAAAUGACGGUACCUACAGAAGAAGCGACGGCUAAAUAUGUGCCAGCAGCCGCCGUAA
rnacentral:rRNA from 1 species